UACGUAGGGGGCUAGCGUUGUCCGGAUUUAUUGGGCGUAAAGAGCGUGUAGGCGGCCAGAUAGGUCUGCUGUGAAAACUCGAGGCUCAACCUCGAGAUGUCGGCGGAAACCAUUUGGCUAGAGUCCGGAAGAGGAAAGUGGAAUUCCUGGUGUAGCGGUGAAAUGCGCAGAUAUCAGGAGGAACACCGGUGGCGAAGGCGGGUCUCUGGGCCGUAACUGACGCUGAGGAGCGAAAGCAUGGGGAACGAACAGG
rnacentral:rRNA from 1 species